UACAGGGGGUGCAAACGUUGCUCGGAAUUAUUGGGCGUAAAGCGCGCGUAGGCGGCUACUUAAGUCGGAUGUGAAAGCCCUUGGCUCAACUGAGGAAGUGCACCCGAAACUGAGUGGCUUGAGUACUAAAGAGGGUCGCGGAAUUCCCGGUGUAGAGGUGAAAUUCGUAGAUAUCGGGAGGAACACCGGUGGCGAAGGCGACCACCUGGACGGAGACUGACGCUGAGGUGCGAAAGCGUGGGGAGCAAACAGG
rnacentral:rRNA from 1 species